GCCAGGCGUGGUGGCUCACGCCUGUAAUCCUAGCACUUUGGGAGGCCGAGGCAGGCGGAUCACCUGAGGUCAGGAGUUUGAGACCAGCCUGGCCAACAUGGUGAAACCCUGUCUCUA
rfam:Pan troglodytes isolate Yerkes chimp pedigree #C0471 (Clint) chromosome 1, whole genome shotgun sequence.